rnacentral:sRNA from 1 species
UGAAAUGAUUAAUUCAAAUGCUUCAAGUAUUUCUGACCUAAGUAUCCAGCCUGAAACUUCUGAGAGCCUAACUGAAAGCAUCCCAACCAGUAUUGCUGACCAAACUGUGAGUUAUUUCACAAUGUUAAUAACGUCUAAUUUCAAGUUGAUCAACACUCUGUUUUUAAUGUUUGUAUAUGCAGAGAUGCUUACAUGCCAAAAGGGAAUUGUGUAUUCCCAGACCUGGAAAUGUGUAUUUU